UACGAAGGGGGCUAGCGUUGUUCGGAAUCACUGGGCGUAAAGCGCACGUAGGCGGAUUGUUAAGUCGGGGGUGAAAUCCUGAGGCUCAACCUCAGAACUGCCUCCGAUACUGGCAAUCUCGAGUUCGGAAGAGGUUGGUGGAACAGCUAGUGUAGAGGUGAAAUUCGUAGAUAUUAGCUAGAACACCAGUGGCGAAAGGCGGCC
rnacentral:rRNA from 1 species